rnacentral:rRNA from 1 species
UGAAUUUUUUAAGGCCGCGGUAUUUUAACUGUGCAAAGGUAGCAUAAUAAUUAGUUUUUUAAUUGAAAACUUGAAUGAAAGGUUGGACAAAGAAAAAGCUGUCUUUAAUAUUUUUAUUGAACUUUACCUUUAAGUGAAAAGGCUUAAAUAAAUUUAAGGGACGAUAAGACCCUAUAAAUCUUUACAUUUUACUAAACUUUAAAACUAGAAAUAAAUUUAUUUAAAAGCUUAAGAAAUAAUGUUUUAUUGGGGUAAUAAAGAUAUAAUAUUUAUAUAAACUGUCUUUUUUUUAAAAACAAAUAUAUUUGUGUAUAAAGAUCCUUCUUAAAGAUUAAAAGUUUAAGUUACUUUAGGGAUAACAGCGUAAUUUUUUUUGAGAGUUCCUAUCGAAAAAAAAGUUUGCGACCUCGAUGUUGAAUUAAAAUUUCUUCGUGGUGUAGAAGCUAUAUAAAGAAAGUCUGUUCGACUUUUAAAAUUUUACAUGAUUUGAGUUCAAACCGGCGAAACCCGGGUUGGGUUUCUAUCUA